GGACCCGCACAAGUAGUGGAGCAUGUGGUUUAAUUCGAUGAUACGCGAGGAACCUUACCAGGGCUUAAAUGUAACGGGACAGGUCUAGAGAUAGACCCUUCUUCGGACUCAUUACAAGGUGCUGCAUGGUUGUCGUCAGCUCGUGCCGUGAGGUGUCAGGUUAAGUCCUAUAACGAGCGCAACCCCUAUCGUUAGUUGCCAGCGAGUAAUGUCGGGAACUCUAACGAAACUGCCAGUGCAAACUGUGAGGAAGGUGGGGAUGACGUCAAAUCAUCACGGCCCUUACGUCCUGGCUACACACGUGCUACAAUGGCCGGUACAGAGAGCAGCCACUUCGCAAGAAGGAG
rnacentral:rRNA from 1 species